rnacentral:rRNA from 1 species
AUUGAACGCUGGCGGCAUGCCUUACACAUGCAAGUCGAACGGCAGCGGGGGAGAAGCUUGCUUUUCCUGCCGGCGAGUGGCGAACGGGUGAGUAAUACAUCGGAACGUGCCCUGUAGUGGGGGAUAACUAGUCGAAAGAUUAGCUAAUACCGCAUACGACCUGAGGGUGAAAGUGGGGGACCGCAAGGCCUCAUGCUAUAGGAGCGGCCGAUGUCUGAUUAGCUAGUUGGUGGGGUAAAGGCCUACCAAGGCGACGAUCAGUAGCUGGUCUGAGAGGACGAUCAGCCACACUGGGACUGAGACACGGCCCAGACUCCUACGGGAGGCAGCAGUGGGGAAUUUUGGACAAUGGGCGAAAGCCUGAUCCAGCAAUGCCGCGUGUGUGAAGAAGGCCUUCAGGUUGUAAAGCACUUUUGUCCGGAAAGAAAUGGCUCUGGUUAAUACCUGGGGUCGAUGACGGUACCGGAAGAAUAGGGACCGGCUAACUACGUGCCAGCCGCCGCAGUAACAC